UUUAGCUUGCUUACGCAAAAUGCAGAGGGCAAAUCCACAGUGCAAGAACAUGGACUGUUCGAGGCAUGGCUGGGGCAGAAUUAGUAUGGGAAGAGUGGUGGGAAGAGCAGCACAGAUAUCUCAUCUCUCAAAGUUACUCCUCUGUUUUUAACCAGAAGGACCAUUCUCAUGCCAGUACUCCAAAGACACUGCCAGAAUUAGCAGAUAUUUUCAUGCGUGUUGGAUGGAAAUGCCAGUCUCCCAUACUUCAGAUUUCAUGAGAAGGCAGGAGUGGUCAUUCAUCUUGCAUGACUAGGAAUACCUACCUGAGUGUAUUCUAAACUCAGAUCAGCUCCUUACUGACUUUCUGCAUGAACUGGGCUUAAACCAACCUGCCUUUCUGCAGAGAUGCAAAUUUUCUUUCAAAAGGAGGUCUGGAAGAUCAAACUGAUUUCUAAAAUCAGGCUCAAACUGUGGAGUGUUUUGAGCAGCAUGGCAACAUAUCAUCAAAUGCAGCAAGCUUGGAAAAGGUGCUCAGGUCAUUCUCCCAACCUGCUCAAUGAAACCAACUAGCUCCUGUGCACUACUUGCUGAUGGUAGCUGAUUCUUUGUUGAUAAAGAAGGGUCAACAUAUAUAAUCAGAUUUGUGCUAUUCCUUCCCAUGAUCAAAAAGAGGAGGUUCCCUCUUCCCUCAUUUGAAAUCUUUGUUGAAGUACACAGUCAGCAUACCUUCCUGCUAAGUGCCUCUACAAUUGUUAUAGGUUUGCAGAUUUUUUUCUUUCUCCUCUGCCACCCCACAUAAAAACUGAAGCUGCUGGCUCCUAUCAAGCCUCAGCCAGGAAAGGAGCUAAAACGAAGAAUCUCUCUGCAUAAUUCCAAUAUUGAUGAAUUAAGAUCUAAAAUAUCUUUCUGUAUUUCAAAAAACAUUCAGAGUCCAUGCUUAAAAUUGAGAUUAGCUCCAUCAAGAAGCAGUAAAUUCAGCAAUAAGAUUUAAUCUCUGUGGCACUCAAAAGACAAGAUUCAAUUAUAUUCUGUGAUCUUAAUUGAAUUACAAAAACCCCCUCAAAAGUAAUGACAUUAUUUUAUAUUUUCCCCAAGCCCAGGUUACUUGGAUUGAAAAGAAUUAAAUAAGCCAUGGUUUCAGAAAAGUAUGUUUGUUUUUGCGGCCUAAUAAUUCACAGCUUUGAGGAGAAGCUAAUAUCCUUUAAGUAAAAGACUAAUAUCUAUGUCUGGAAGAGCUUUUUUUGACCCAUCUGGUUUGUCAGAAAAGUCUCCUACCUCUGAUAUUUAUACAAUAUCAUGCAAAUGUCAAAAUCUGAAUGUCAUCUUCAAAGACCCUUUUAUGUCAGGCAACCCCUUUAUAGGGAAAAAAUAAACAAUUUUAUGUAUGCAUGCUUGAUGCCAGUCCAAUUAAUAAAAGCCUUUUUUGCUA